rnacentral:rRNA from 1 species
AUAGCUUGCUCUCUUGGCGGCGAGUGGCGGACGGGUGAGUAAUAUAUCGGAACGUGCCCAGUAGCGGGGGAUAACUACUCGAAACAGUGGCUAAUACCGCAUACCCCCUACGGGGGAAAGGGGGGGAUCGCAAGACCUCUCGCUAUUGGAGCGGCCGAUAUCGGAUUAGCUAGUUGGUGGGGUAAAGGCUCACCAAGGCAACGAUCCGUACCUGGUUUGAGAGGACGACCAGCCACACUGGGACUGAGACACGGCCCAAACUCCUACGGGAGGCAGCAGUGGGGAAUUUUGGACAAUGGGGGAAACCCUGAUCCAGCCAUCCCGCGUGUAUGAUGAAGGCCUUCGGGUUGUAAAGUACUUUUGGCAGAGAAGAAAAGGUAUCCCCUAAUACGGGAUACUGCUGACGGUAUCUGCAGAAUAAGCACCGGCUAACUACGUGCCACCAGCCGCGGUAAUACGUAGGGUGCAAGCGUUAAUCGGAAUUACUGGGCGUAAAGCGUGUGUAGGCGGUUCGGAAAGAAAGAUGUGAAAUCCCAGGGCUCAACCUUGGAACUGCAUUUUUAACUGCCGAGCUAGAGUAUGUCAGAGGGGGGUAGAAUUCCACGUGUAGCAGUGAAAUGCGUAAAUAUGUGGAGGAAUACCGAUGGCGAAGGCAGCCCCCUGG